rnacentral:rRNA from 1 species
GACGAACGCUGGCGGCGUGCCUAAUACAUGCAAGUAGAACGCUGAAGAGAGGAGCUUACUCUUCUUGGAUGAGUUGCGAACGGGUGAGUAACGCGUAGGUAACCUGCCUUGUAGCGGGGGAUAACUAUUGGAAACGAUAGCUAAUACCGCAUAACAAUGGAUGACACAUGUCAUUUAUUUGAAAGGGGCAAUUGCUCCACUACAAGAUGGACCUGCGUUGUAUUAGCUAGUAGGUGAGGUAAUGGGUCACCUAGGCGACGAUACAUAGCCGACCUGAGAGGGUGAGCGGCCAAGCUGGGUCGGGGGGACGGCCCGGACUCCUGCGAGAGGCAGAAGUAGGGAAUUCUCGGGGAUGGCGGCAAUCGUGACCGAGCGACGCCGCGUGAGUGACGAAGGUUUUCGGAUCGUAAAGCUGUUGUAUAAGUCAAGAUCGGAUGGCAGAGUGGGAUGGGCACACUGUGACGGUAGCUUAAGAGAAAGGGACGGCUAACUACGUG